ACCACAGCAGGCCCUUCCCAAUCAGGACAGGCACAGAUUCCCCUAACAGACUACAGCAGGCCAAUCAGGACAGGCACAGAUAACUCUGUUGAUGUAAGAUUUUCAAAACUAGAAACUGGACUCCCAGUUGGGAGCAGAGAUGUCCAUCUAGAAUUAGGUACUCCGGAGACUGCCUGUGCCAUCUUGGGUUGCCAUUUUACCAUUUUGGAUCCUGGGAGACAACAGAUCUCAGGCUAUGAAGGACUAAUCCAGGCACCAAGAUCCAUUUCCCAAAGCUAAGAGGCUGAAAGUUACACCAAGCAUCUGAGAGCUAAGCCUGACAAAGUACUUGGAGAUCCCUGAAGAUCUAGAAAUCAAGGCAGUCCCAAACUGACCACAUAUUGAAGUUGUUAAAUGUUGGACUCAAUAUCUCUACAAAUGGAAUCCAAGGAUAUACCCAGAAGCUGGGAGUCUAGGGAAGAAAAAGCUGUGGGCUUCUCCUUUCAAAAUGGAACACUCUGUGGCCUCCAACCUUUACUGCACCCCUCAGAGGAACCAUGUAUUUAUCUUCUCCAGGAGGAAAAUGCUAAUGAAAUUUCUCCAAGAGACUCCAAUAGGCAUUUCCUUGCUCAGGUGGCCCAAGAUUCCGAGAACAAGAAGCUGGAUACCUUUUUGAGUUUUGGAGUGUCCAUCUGGAACUAUGUCCCUGUAGGGCCAGUCCAGGCUGACCUUGUGCAGUGGUUUAGGCCCUGGGAGACAAGACCAAGGACAGCAGCUGAGGAAGAAUUCAGCUGGGUGGUAGGUGAGUUUCUGCUUUCCUCCGCAAGCAGAUUGAUGGACUCUUCCAACCAGGUGGACCUGCAGCCUUCAAAACAAAGACCUGCCUCCUUGUCACCUAUAGACUCACCCAGGCCACACUUGCAGGCCAGGAGAAGACUGAUCUUUGACACUUGAUUAGUUCCUACCCAAUCCCCUCCAAAGUCCAGUCCUGUAUUGGCCAUCUCAGCCCAUUAAUGACUUUGUGACCUCGACUUCAUCAUUUCCCCUUCCCAGACCUCAGUUUCCCUUUCUCUCCAACAAGGGACUUUUACAAAAUGAUCUUUGAGGUACUGAAAAUGUGAUUCUGAGGCUUUUCUAUUUUCACCUUUGAAAUUUUGAAAAUAAAGGGUUAUACCCAAGAAAAAUACA
rnacentral:lncRNA from 1 species